rnacentral:tRNA from 1 species
GGGCCUUUAGCUCAGUCGGUUAGAGCAGAGGACUCAUAAUCCUUUGGUCGCGGGUUCGAGCCCCGCAGGGCCCACCA